UUCGCGCCGCGAAGUGGGCGCGGCUUUGCGGGGAAAGGGGCGUGGCCCGGGCGGGGUGGGCGUGGCCUCAGCAAUGGCGGCGCUGCGCGUGCUCGUGGGUGUGAAGCGGGUCAUCGACUUCGCCGUCAAGGUGCGCGUGGCCCCCGGGGGGGGGUCGGUGCAGACGCAGGGGGUGAAGCACUCGCUGAACCCCUUCUGCGAGAUCGCCCUGGAAGAGGCCGUGCGGCUCCGCGAGGGCGGCGCGGCCGCCGAGGUCGUCGUGGCCACCGUGGGCACCAAGGCCAGCCAGGAGACCCUCCGCACGGCUCUCGCCGUCGGGGCUGACCGGGCAGUGCUGGCCGAGGUGGGGGAGGGGGUGGCCCUGGGGCCCCUCGAGGUGGCCAAGGCCCUGGCCGGGCUGGUGGGGAAGAUCCAGCCCCAGCUGGUGCUGCUGGGCAAGCAGGCCAUCGAUGACGACUGUAACCAAACGGGGCAGCUCCUCGCCGCCAUGUUGGACUGGCCGCAGGUACCGCGGGGCACGACGGGACACUGGGGGUGUGCGGCUAUCGCGGCAUCGACCAUAGAGAUCGACCAUAGAGAUCAUCGCAGUGCGCGGGGCAUGGUGGGACACUGGGGGUGUGCGGCUAUCCCGGCAUCCGCCGCGGCGCGGACCAUAGAGAUCGACCAUAGAGAUCAUCGCAGUGCGCGGGGCAUGACGGGACAGUGGGGGUGUGCGGCUAUCCCGGCAUCCCCCGCGGCACCGACCAUAGAGAUCGACCAUAGAGAUCAUCGCAGUGCGCGGGGCAUGACGGGACAGUGGGGGUGUGCGGCUAUCCCGGCAUCCCCCGCGGCACCGACCAUAGAGAUCGACCAUAGAGAUCAUCGCAGUGCGCGGGGCGUGAAGGGACACUGGGGGUGUGCGGCUAUCCCGGCAUCCCCCGCGGCAUCGACCAUAGAGAUCGACCAUAGAGAUCAUCGCAGCGCGCGGGGCAUGACGGGAUGCUGGGGGUGUGCGGCCGGAGGGGGAUAAAUCCCAUGGUCCUUUGCGGCGGUUUCUGCGCGGGGGGGGGGCAGUUUAUGCUGGGAACGCCUCAGUUUGUACUGGGAGGGUGCUCAGUUGGUACUGGGAGCGGCCCUUUCACACUGGGAAGGGCUCCCAGCCCUUACUGGGGCAAUCCAAGCCCAUACUGGGAUGCUCGCACUCCUUACUGUGAUGCCCUAAUUUCAUACUGGGAUUCCCCCACUCCAUUGUGGGUGGUCCCACCCCGCACUGGGACGUUCCCAGUCCAUCCCAGUCCCCUCUGUCCCCAGGGCACCUUCGCCUCCCGUGUCCAGCUGGAAGGCGGCUCCGUGCGGGUGGAGCGGGAGGUGGACGCGGGGCUGGAGACGCUGCGGUUGCGCCUCCCGGCCGUUCUCACGGCGGAUCUGCGGCUCAACGAGCCCCGUUACGCCACCCUGCCCAACAUCAUGAAAGCCAAGAAGAAGCCCCUGGAGGUGAUCCCGGCUGCGGAUUUGGGGGUCCCCGCGGGGCCCCCCCGGCUCCGGGUGCUGCAGGUUCAGGAGCCCCCGGCCCGGGCAGGAGGGGAGAAGGUGGAAAAUGUCCCGGCCCUGGUGGAGAAGCUGCGGAGCUGCGGUCGCAUCUGAGGGGGAAACCAGGACGGACCAGUAUGGACCAGUGCCCUCCAGGAACCCCCCCAGUAACCCCCAGUGCCUUCCAGCCUGGGCCAGUGCCCCCCCAUCCCUGCCUAGUGCCCCCCAGGACCCCCCCACUGUCAGCCCAGGCCCCCCAGUGCCUUCUACUUCCCCCAAAUAAAGGCGUGGCUGCUCGA